rnacentral:rRNA from 1 species
AAACGUAGGUGGCGAACGUUAUCCGGAUUUACUGGGCGUAAAGCGCUCGCAGGCGGCUUCGUAAGUCUGACGUGAAAGCUCCCGGCUUAACUGGGAGAGGCCGUUGGAUACUGCGGAGCUUGAGGGCAGGAGAGGAGAGUGGAAUUCCCGGUGUAGCGGUGGAAUGCGUAGAUAUCGGGAGGAACUCCAGUGGCGAAGGCGACUCUCUGGCCUGACCCUGACGCUCAGUAGCGAAAGCGUGGGGAGCGAACAGGAUUAGAAACCCUAGUAGUCC